CCUGUCACCUCCCAGCAACCUCUGCUGUCCUUGGAAGAUCUAGAAAGCCUGCAUGUUUUGCGUCUGUUUCUUAUCUGGGUCACCAUCUUUCUUCGUUUUUGUGGAACUAAAAUGAUAUUUGCAAGAAAAUGGAAGUGAAACUUUAUUAUUGAUUCCUUCAUAUUUGGACUUACUUGGCUGCAAUGUAAUUAAGGAUCACUGCACAUACAAGGUCACCAUGAAAGGAAAGAAAACAGCUGCUGCCAGGCUGAUGGUGACAACAGGACAGUCGAGACAAGAAAGGAGGGAACUGUCUGUCCUCUCUAUUUACAAGUUCCAGCUCAAGUCACUACUCUGCAGCCUGCUCAGCUAAAAUCAAGACCUUUUUCCCUCCAAUGAACUCAAUUUCCGUAAACUGGGGCAAUCUGUGGAGCCAAUCAGGAAUGAUAUCACAGUAGAUUCAUGCUUUAAUCAAAGUUGUUUGAUUUAAUAUAUCUCACAUCAGAAAGAACUGGGCAAUAUGUAAUACUACUAAUAUGUAAUAAAACAAACAA